AAGUCGUAACAAGGUUUCCGUAGGUGAACCUGCGGAAGGAUCAUUAACACGUAUCCAACGUUAAACCCCCCGUGAACCUUCAUUUGGUAAAUCAUCGCCGAACAGUUUUGAUUCAGGGACCUCUGCAUGGAGUGGGCAGCAGCGCGAGGCAAGUGGCCUGGCAUUCGAAAGAAUGGCGCAGUAACGAUCGCUAGAGGCCGACACGGCCGGCGACCGGGUCACUGGGCUCACGCCCCCCUAUCACCUUUGCAUGAAAACGGGCCUGCGCUUAAUUGUGCGGCCACCAAACUCGAACAACUGUUAACAAUGGAUAUCUUGGUUCUC
rnacentral:misc_RNA from 1 species